rnacentral:rRNA from 1 species
GCGCACCAGGCGAGAAAACUUUACAAUGUGCGAAAGCACGAUAAGGGAACUCUGAGUGCCUCCUAAGGAGGCUGUUCUGAUGUCUAAAAAGCAACAGAAGUAAGGGCUGGGUAAGACCGGUGCCAGCCGCCGCGGUAACACCGGCAGCCCAAGUGGUAGCCACGUUUAUUGGGUCUAAAGCGUUCGUAGCCGGCCAGGUAAGUUCCUUGGUAAAUUUAGCCGCUUAACGGUUAAGCUUUCAGGGAAUACUGCUUGGCUUGGGACUGGGGAGAGGUCAGAGGUACUCCGGGGGUAGGGGUGAAAUCUAUUAAUCCCUGGGGGACCACCGGUAGCGAAGGCGUCUGACCAGACCAGGUCCGACGGUGAGGGACGAAGGCUAGGGGCGCGAACCGGAUUAGAUACCCCCGUAGU